ACCUGGUGUAUCUGGCUCAGAAAAAAAAAAAAAAUAAUUCCUGUAAUCAGGAUCCUUCCCCCCAGUUUAUGGGGCAACAGGCAGUGAUCCAUUUGGGAUCCACUGAGCAUCUUUGAGAAGGCAAUCAAAUCUCUCUUCCAUGGAAAACCUGAAAUAUCUCCUGGAGUUAGUCUUUGUUCUCAUCGUUCCUCUGAAACAUGAAUCCCAGAAAUUGUGGUAAAUUCAAGUCUUAUCAAUUUUACAAAGACCUGAGUCAGGGAGAACACAAACAUGUAAAAUCUCAAGAAGAAAAAAAAUGUGUCACAGGUGAUGCAUGAGAACGUGAGAGGGAGUGUGAACCCCUUGCUUCUAGCUUUGAACCACCAUCGCCUGAGUUUGUUUCUGUUGGGUUUUGAACAUUUUCAACAACCCAGUGUGAUCUCCGCCAGGUGUCAGCGUGGCCAUUGGAGAUGCGGCGGCCCAGCGACAUCUGCCUGACCUUUCUGAUUUGAGAAUAAAAGUCUACGCGGCUCUUGGGGACCUGUGCACUCCCUUUGGCUCCCGUAUCCUGAGUCUAGGGUAUAUCAACGGCACGGCUUUCACUGACAGUGUGCGCAAGCGCACUUCACGCAUUGGCAGCUUCUGUGGAUAUGACGGUUACAGUCACAGACCGACGCAAGAGCAAAAAUCCCUGACUUCUGGAGAAGCCGCAUGACCGAGAGAGGCCCUGGGAGAUGACCCCAGCUGGAGCACAGGGGAUGCAAUAGGGAGACACUGCCGGAGGGUGCUUGAAAUGGAAGGAGUUGGCUGAACCAGAGCAGUGGCUGGAGGAACGGAUGGGAGGAACAAUUUUGUGAGGCUCCUCUGAACUUUCGGAGAUAUCCUUUGUUACCAGCAUGGGGCGAAAGAGCCAAAUGGGACCUCAGGAAAGAUAACAUAAACUGAAAGUAAAGGAAUGGAACAAGAUACACCAUGCAAGUGGAAAUGAAAAGCAAGCCAAAGUACCUAUAUUUAUAACAGUGGUUGCCUCCAGAAAUUCCUAUAAGCUUUGCUCUUCACCUUGGGUAUUCUCACCCAUAUAAAGUAAGCAACAAAUGAUGCAGCCACAGGAUCUCCAUGUAGAGGUGUCUCAUGGCUGACAAGAUGUGUUGGAAGAAAGCCUGUUUACAGAGACCAUCCUGGUGCCUGUGGGAACUCUACUGAAUUACCCAAUUGUAUAAGCUCAGUUUCCACGUUCUCAAAAUUGGAAUAUAAUACUUAUCUCACAGGAUUGGAAUAAAGGUUA